rnacentral:rRNA from 1 species
UACGAAGGGGGCUAGCGUUGUUCGGAAUUACUGGGCGUAAAGCGUGCGCAGGCGGUCUUCCAAGUCAGUGGUGAAAGCCCGGAGCUCAACUCCGGAACUGCCAUUGAAACUGUGAGACUCGAGUACGAGAGAGGUGAGUGGAAUUCCCAGUGUAGAGGUGAAAUUCGUAGAUAUUGGGAAGAACACCGGUGGCGAAGGCGGCGACCUGGUCCUUUACUGACGCUGAGGCGCGAAAGCGUGGGGAGCAAACAGG